rnacentral:misc_RNA from 1 species
UGAGGACUGUUGCAAGCAAAUUCUACCAAUAUUAGUUUCAUAUCCAACAUAACAAUAUUUCUUUGAUAUCAGCCUAAAUACUUACAUCCCUGACCAAAUAGCCACUAACCAACUGCCAAAACUUUGCUAACAACAGUUCAACAAGCUCUCUAUAUAUCAUGGAGGCAUGAGAUUUACAAAGCUUCCUUGGGAUUUCUGAGAAUUACUUGACUCUGAUCCUUCUGACUCGUCCUCAAAUAGUGCUUUGAUUGUUGGCCUCUUUGACUUGGUAUUCUUCUUCUUCAGUUCAGCCAUUCCAGACGCUUGAUAAUCAUUCACGAUUUCAAAGUUUUUGUACGUAUAACCCACAAAGUUGAUGUCCUUCGAUGAGAGCAUCUUCCUCCAAGGACCAGAUCUUGAUGCACUCUGAGAACGUG